UGUCUGCGGAAAUGAAGGAUAAGUUUGAGAAGUAUUGGUCAGAUAUCCAUGGUCUUAUGUCUAUUGCAACGGUUCUUGAUCCAAGGUAUAAACUUCAUAUUCUCAAUGCUCUCUAUGGUCCCCUCUAUGGAAGAGAGCAUGCAGCCACAGAAAUAGAGAAGGUGAAGAAGUUAUUGAUUCAAUUGAUGAAGAAAUAUGAAGAUGAAGUUGAAGGGGAGGAUACAUGGGAUGCUUCUGUUGUUGAGCCAGCUGGAGAAGAAGAUGAAGCACUGAAACUGUAUGAUCUAUAUUUGUCUAGUCGCCCAGCUGUCCCAUCUUCAUCCAUCCAUACAGAAUUGGACAUGUAUUUGGAAGAAGCUAGUCUGCCUAGAACACAAGAAUUGGAUAUCAUCAAUUGGUGGAAGGUUAACGGCACAAGGUUUCCUACCUUGUAAAAACUGGCUCGUCAUAUAUUGCCUAUUCCCAUAACAUCUGUAGCUUCUGAAUGUGCAUUCAGCACUAGUGGAAGAGUACUAAGUGCACAUCAUAGUAGACUUACUCCUAAUGUGGCUGAAUCUCUAAUGUGCAUGCAAGCUUGGUCUCGUGCAGAUCUCUUAGGUGGUUGGGAUUCUACACUAUUUGCUACAUUUCAGAGUGUUCUUGAGGAUGAAGAAGAAGAGAUGGAUGAAUCUACUUCAAUCAUAACCGAAGAGUGAAGAUACGGAUGCCGUUUGUGCUGACUUGGUGCCUUGGUGGCGAUGGUUGCUGUCUACAAGCUGUUGUUUGCGCUGGCUGCUAAUCGAGUGUUGAUUGAUGGGUACUACGGAAGGUUGUUGUUUUUUAGUUGUCAAGUGAUAAUCACUCCAUUU